GUAACGGCGAGUGAGCGGCAACAGCUCAAAUUUGAAAUCUGGCCCCUAGGGCCCGAGUUGUAAUUUGCAGAGGAUGCUUCUGGCGAGGCGCCGCCCGAGUUCCCUGGAACGGGACGCCAUAGAGGGUGAGAGCCCCGUCUGGCUGGCCGCCGAGCCUCUGUGAAGCUCCUUCGACGAGUCGAGUAGUUUGGGAAUGCUGCUCAAAAUGGGAGGUAUAUGCCUUCUAAAGCUAAAUACCGGCCAGAGACCGAUAGCGCACAAGUAGAGUGAUCGAAAGAUGAAAAGCACUUUGAAAAGAGGGUUAAACAGUACGUGAAAUUGUUGAAAGGGAAGCGCUUGCGACCAGACUCGCGGGCGGUGGAUCAUCUGGCGUUCUCGCCCGUGCACUCCGCCGCCCGCGGGCCAGCAUCGGCUCGCCUCGGGGGACAAAGGCGCUGGGAAUGUGGCUCCUCCGGGAGUGUUAUAGCCCGGCGUGCAAUGCCCUGUGGCGGGCCGAGGACCGCGCGUUUUACGCAAGGAUGC
rnacentral:rRNA from 1 species